rnacentral:rRNA from 1 species
AUGGCAAGCCGAGCUCUCACCCCCUUCCAGCUCGCUGCCAUCCUCUUGGUGGCGCUCUUCGCCACGUGCCAUGCUGGCAGCAUCGCUGUGUACUGGGGCCAGAACGACGGCGAGGUGUCGCUGGCUAAGACGUGCGCGUCAGGUAACUACAAGUUCGUCGUCGUUGCUUUCCUCCCCAAGUUCGGCAAGGGCCAGAAGCCGGAGCUGAACCUCGCCGGCCACUGCGACCCUUCGUCUGGCGGCUGCAAAAUCCUGAGCAAGGACAUCCACUCGUGCCAGCGCCGCGGCGUCAAGGUUCUCCUCUCCCUCGGCGGCGCGGACGGCAGCUACGGCCUCUCGUCCCGCGGCGAUGCACGCCAGGUUGCCAUGUACCUCUGGAACACCUACCUGGGCGGCACGAGGUCGUCGUCUCGCCCCCUCGGGGACGCCGUGCUCGACGGCAUCGACUUUGACAUCGAGAAAGGCGGCUCCAAGUUCUGGGGCGACCUCGCCAGGGACCUCAAGAGCUUGGACAAGAGCGUGCUGCUGAGCGCGGCGCCACAGUGCCCGUUCCCUGACCAGUGGGACGACGGCGCGAUCAGGACGGGGGUGUUCGACUUCGUGUGGGUGCAGUUCUACAACAACCCGGAGUGCCAGAUCAGCGCGGGCCGUGGAGCAUUCUUGGCCGCCUGGAAGAGAUGGGAGUCACUGCCGAUAGGGAAGCUCUUCCUGGGGCUGCCGGCUUCCAAAGACGCGGCGGGCACUGGGUUCGUGCCCGCCGGCAAGCUCAAGUCGGUGCUGCCGCUCAUCAAGGGCUCGCCCAAGUACGGCGGCGUCAUGCUGUGGGCUAAGUUCUAUGACGACCACACUGGAUACAGCUCCGCCAUCAAGAGCCACGUCUGA